rnacentral:lncRNA from 1 species
UGCAAGUGUUUGUUGAAGAUAAUGAGUCAGAGGAGAGGCUUGUGAAUCGAUUUAGGAGAGAAGUGAUGAGAACUGGUGUUAUACAGGAAUGUAAGAGGAGAAGAUACUUUGAGAAUAAACAAGAUGAGAAGAAACGUAGGACUCGUGAUGCUGCUAAGCGUAAUAAGAAAAGGUAAUAUAUCUGUGUUGAAACCGAGAUUGGGUAUUGAUGAUUGAACUGUGAAGAUUUUAUGCUUAGUUCGUGAAAAUUAUCACUGCCUCUUAGGUUUAGAGGGUUGAAUGGUCUCAAAUUUUGAGUGUGGUUCAUGUUACUUCAAUUUGGUGAUUGUUUUGUUCUGGUUGAUACAUAUAUUGAAACAGAGAUUGGGUAUUGAUGAUUAAACUGUGAAGAUUUGAUGCUUAGUUCUUGAAAAAUAUCACUGUCUCUUAGGUUUAGAGAGUAAAGAUUUUGAGUGUGGUUCAUGUUUCUUCAAUUUGGUGAUUGUUUUGUUAUAUCUGCUUGUGCAGUGAUUGAUUCAUUUGUUGAAACAAAGAUUGGUUAUUGAUGAUGGAGUUCAAUGAUAGCUUGUGAUGGUCUUGAUACGUAGUUAUUGAACACCUAUUCUGUCUCUUAGCUUUAGAGGAUUGAAAUAGAGACGUUUUAGUCACAAAUUUGUAUGAUAUGUUUGUUCUGUGAGAAUUCUUAUGCUAUAUCUGUUUUCCAGUGAUUGAUUCAUAUGUUGAAACAGAUUAGGUAUUGAUGAUUAACUUCCAAUGAUAGUCCUUUUGGUAACUUGGUUAUUGAAAACCUUCACUGUCUUUAUUGGAUUCAUCUGUGAAGAUUUUGAUACUUGGUUAUUGAAAACCUUCACUGUCUUUAUUGGAUUUAGAGGAUGGAAAUAGUGAAUAGAUGAGUCUCAGAUUUGUAUGUGGUUUCAUGUUUCUUGGUUGGG